GCGUGAGUGAUGAAGGUUUUCGGAUCGUAAAGCUCUGUUGCCAGGGAAGAACGCUUGGGAGAGUAACUGCUCUCAAGGUGACGGUACCUGAGAAGAAAGCCCCGGCUAACUACGUGCCAGCAGCCGCGGUAAUACGUAGGGGGCAAGCGUUGUCCGGAAUUAUUGGGCGUAAAGCGCGCGCAGGCGGUCAUUUAAGUCUGGUGUUUAAUCCCGGGGCUCAACCCCGGAUCGCACUGGAAACUGGGUGACUUGAGUGCAGAAGAGGAGAGUGGAAUUCCACGUGUAGCGGUGAAAUGCGUAGAUAUGUGGAGGAACACCAGUGGCGAAGGCGACUCUCUGGGCUGUAACUGACGCUGAGGCGCGAAAGCGUGGGGAGCAAACAGGAUUAGAUACCCUG
rnacentral:rRNA from 1 species